AAGGUUGGCUAAUCCUGGUCGGACAUCAGGAGGUUAGUGCAAUGGCAUAAGCCAGCUUGACUGCGAGCGUGACGGCGCGAGCAGGUGCGAAAGCAGGUCAUAGUGAUCCGGUGGUUCUGAAUGGAAGGGCCAUCGCUCAACGGAUAAAAGGUACUCCGGGGAUAACAGGCUGAUACCGCCCAAGAGUUCAUAUCGACGGCGGUGUUUGGCACCUCGAUGUCGGCUCAUCACAUCCUGGGGCUGAAGUAGGUCCCAAGGGUAUGGCUGUUCGCCAUUUAAAGUGGUACGCGAGCUGGGUUUAGAACGUCGUGAGACAGUUCGGUCCCUAUCUGCCGUGGGCGCUGGAGAACUGAGGGGGGCUGCUCCUAGUACGAGAGGACCGGAGUGGACGCAUCACUGGUGUUCGGGUUGUCAUGCCAAUGGCACUGCCCGGUAGCUAAAUGCGGAAGAGAUAAGUGCUGAAAGCAUCUAAGCACGAAACUUGCCCCGAGAUGAGUUCUCCCUGACCCUUUAAGGGUCCUGAAGGAACGUUGAAGACGACGACGUUGAUAGGCCGGGUGUGUAAGCGCAGCGAUGCGUUGAGCUAACCGGUACUAAUGAACCGUGAGGCUUAACCUUACAA
rnacentral:rRNA from 1 species